rnacentral:rRNA from 1 species
UAUACUGCAGUCGAGCGGAGUCUUGUUGGAAGCUUGCUUCCACUUGGCUUAGCGGCGGACGGGUGAGUAACACGUAGGCAACCUACCCUUCAGACUGGGAUAACUACCGGAAACGGUAGCUAAUACCGGAUAAUUCCUUUUCUCUCAUGAGAAGAGGAUGAAAGGCGGAGCAAUCUGCUACUGAGGGAUGGGCCUGCGGCGCAUUAGCUAGUUGGUGAGGUAACGGCUCACCAAGGCGACGAUGCGUAGCCGACCUGAGAGGGUGAACGGCCACACUGGGACUGAGACACGGCCCAGACUCCUACGGGAGGCAGCAGUAGGGAAUCUUCCGCAAUGGGCGAAAGCCUGACGGAGCAACGCCGCGUGAGUGAUGAAGGUUUUCGGAUCGUAAAGCUCUGUUGCCAGGGAAGAACGUCCGGUAGAGUAACUGCUACCGGAGUGACGGUACCUGAGAAGAAAGCCCCGGCUAACUACGUGCCAGCAGCCGCGGUAAUACGUAGGGGGCAAGCGUUGUCCGGAAUUAUUGGGCGUAAAGCGCGCGCAGGCGGCUAUUUAAGUCUGGUGUUUAAACCUUGGGCUCAACCUGAGGUCGCACUGGAAACUGGGUGGCUUGAGUACAGAAGAGGAAAGUGGAAUUCCACGUGUAGCGGUGAAAU